AUGAUCCUCCCACCUCAGCCUCCAGAGUAGCUGGGACUACAGAGAUGGUCAUAAAGAAAUUCCCUGACCUAUCUGGCUUGACUGUAGGUCAUAAGACCCCCAUUCCAGGAUCCUGUUCUAUACCUGAGAGGAAGAAAUGCUACAACAGAGAUGCCAAGAAGAACCUGAGCAAACGGGUCUUGCUCAUCUUCCUCUUCUCGGUCUAGUGCAUUAGAUCACACCCUUUGCCACAGUUGUACAUGACUGACCACUCUUCGUUGCAUCUAAGCAUAAAAAUGGACAGUUUUUUCUAUAUCUCUGGGUCUUCAUUUUGAAGGUUCCCAUGUCAUGUAAAACCAUGAUUAAAUAAACUUGUUACACUUUUCUCU